rnacentral:rRNA from 1 species
GCGACAGACUCCUACGGGAGGCAGCAGUGAGGAAUAUUGGUCAAUGGGCUUACGCCUGAACCAGCCAAGUCGCGUGAGGGAAGACCGCCCUAUGGGUUGUAAACCUCUUUUGUCAGGGAGCAACGCCGGCUACGUGUAGCCGGACUGAGAGUACCUGAAGAAAAAGCAUCGGCUAACUCCGUGCCAGCAGCCGCGGUAAUACGGAGGAUGCGAGCGUUAUCCGGAUUUAUUGGGUUUAAAGGGUGCGUAGGGGGUCGGGAAGGUCAGGGGUAAAGGCCGGGGGCUCACCCCGGGCGAGCCGUUGAAACUGUCGGACUAGAGACGGCGAGAAGUACGCGGAAUGCGCGGUGUAGCGGUGAAAUGCAUAGAUAUCACGCAGAACUCCGAUUGCGAAGGCAGCAUACCGGCGCGCAACUGACGCUCAUGCACGAAAGCGUGGGUAUCGAACAGGAUUAGAUACCCUGGUA